GAACAUCUCGACAGACUCCCCGCCACCAGGAACGUGCCUGCUACUUGACAGAGCCAGGGAGGGAGGAUUGGCUGAUCUGGGGUUUUAUCAGCCCCCAGGAGAUGGGAGGCCCAGGCUCCAGCUGCGGUGGAGGACAAAGGGGGCUUGUUUCGGUGACAAUGGUGCCUUUCAGGAGGGAGGAGGUGGCUUUUGUUAAGGGGGAACGAUGAGUUCAAGGGGUUCUGACUUAUUCUGGCAAGUUUCUACAGCUCUACAAGAACUUCUAGUGCUCUGGGCAGCUGCAAGGGGUCAAGAAACCACAUCCCCAAAUCCAGCGGGAUCUCAGAGAGAAAGGCUGAUGGGAAGCUGCCCAGGACUGACCUGGCACAUGCUGGGAAAACCCCUUGGUGCCAGGGCAGGAGGCAGAGCAUCUGCGGCUCCUCCCUCCCCAUCACAGGGGGUAAGGAAUACAGCAGAACGGGAAUUGGGUGCCUUCAUGCUGCUGUUACUGCCCUUGGUUCUGGCUUCUUUCACUUGGAAACCCCAGGAGCUAAGUUCCUGUUGACGAGGCGGCCCAGCUCCCCAGGUGUGGCUGUGUUCCGGAUAUCCACGUCGUGGGGGGAUACAUAAAGCUUUGUGUCAUUCAGGUCAAAGAACUCAACUUCUGUGAGACCCACCCACCACGAGUUGCCCCAGUUGGACAGGAUCUCCAUGGUCACGUAGAUGGCAUCUUUGAUCUCGUCUGCCCUUGUUCUCUGUUUGUCCUUAAAGAAGAGAAAAAUAACACCAAAGGAUUAAGUCAUGACAGGCUUGAAUUCAGCUCUACCUCUGCUACCACUGCCUUCAAAAAGUUAGUUAACCUUCAGUGUCUCAGUCUCUCCAUCUGUACAAUGAGGAUAAGAAUAGCACCCACUACCUAUGGUUAUUCCUAUGAUCAAAUGAAUUCAUACUGUAAAGCAUUCAAAAUAGAGUCCCUGUGUAACUGGCACUCUGUGAGCAUUCUGUUUGAGAGUUUAGAAAUAAAUAAAAAUGUCUAAAAAGCAUUGAA